rnacentral:rRNA from 1 species
GGAGAGCUUGCUCUCUGGGUGACGAGUGGCGGACGGGUGAGUAAUGCAUGGGGAGCUGCCCAAUCGAGGGGGAUACCAGCUGGAAACGGCUGCUAAUACCGCAUACGCCCUGAGGGGGAAAGGUGGGGACCCUCGAGCCUACCGCGAUUGGAUGCACCCAUGUGGGAUUAGCUAGUUGGUGAGGUAACGGCUCACCAAGGCGACGAUCUCUAGCUGGUCUGAGAGGAUGACCAGCCACACUGGAACUGAGACACGGUCCAGACUCCUACGGGAGGCAGCAGUGGGGAAUAUUGCACAAUGGGGGAAACCCUGAUGCAGCCAUGCCGCGUGUGUGAAGAAGGCCUUCGGGUUGUAAAGCACUUUCAGUAGGGAGGAAGGGUUGAUGUCUAAUACGCAUCAGCAUUGACGUUACCUACAGAAGAAGCACCGGCUAACUCCGUGCCAGCAGCCGCGGUAAUACGGAGGGUGCAAGCGUUAAUCGGAAUAACUGGGCGUAAAGCGCACGCAGGCGGUUGGAUAAGUCAGAUGUGAAAUCCCCGGGCUCAACCUGGGAACUGCAUUUGAAACUGUCUGACUAGAGUCUUGUAGAGGGGGGUAGAAUUCCAGGUGUAGCGGUGAAAUGCGUAGAGAUCUGGAGGAAUACCGGUGGCGAAGGCGGCCCCCUGGACAAAGACUGACGCUCAGGUGCGAAAGCGUGGGGAGCAAACAGGACUAGAUACCCUGGUAGUCCACGCUGUAAACGAUGUCGAUUUGGAGUUUGUGCCAUUAUGAGC